UUGGCUCAGGAUGAACGCUGGCGGCGUGCCUAACACAUGCAAGUCGAACGGAACUAUUUUGACAGAUUUCUUCGGAAUGAUGGAUUUUUAGUUUAGUGGCGGACGGGUGAGUAACGCGUGAGUAACCUGCCUCUAAGAGGGGAAUAACGUUCUGAAAAGAUCGCUAAUACCGCAUAACAUAUUGAAGCCGCAUGACUUUGAUAUCAAAGAUUUAUCGCUUAGAGAUGGACUCGCGUCCGAUUAGCUUGUUGGCGGGGUAACGGCCCACCAAGGCGACGAUCGGUAGCCGGACUGAGAGGUUGAACGGCCACAUUGGGACUGAGACACGGCCCAGACUCCUACGGGAGGCAGCAGUGGGGAAUAA
rnacentral:rRNA from 1 species